rnacentral:rRNA from 1 species
GAUGAACGCUGGCGGCGUGCUUAACACAUGCAAGUCGAACGAAACACCUUAUUUGAUUUUCUUCGGAACUGAAGAUUUGGUGAUUGAGUGGCGGACGGGUGAGUAACGCGUGGGUAACCUGCCCUGUACAGGGGGAUAACAGUCAGAAAUGACUGCUAAUACCGCAUAAGACCACAGCACCGCAUGGUGCAGGGGUAAAAACUCCGGUGGUACAGGAUGGACCCGCGUCUGAUUAGCUGGUUGGUGAGGUAACGGCUCACCAAGGCGACGAUCAGUAGCCGGCUUGAGAGAGUGAACGGCCACAUUGGGACUGAGACACGGCCCAAACUCCUACGGGAGGCAGCAGUGGGGAAUAUUGCACAAUGGGGGAAACACUGAUGCAGCGACGCCGCGUGAGUGAAGAAGUAUUUCGGUAUGUAAAGCUCUAUCAGCAGGGAAGAAAAUGACGGUACCUGACUAAGAAGCCCCGGCUAACUACGUG